UGGGCAGUAGCAGUGAAGAAAUCAUGCCUCCAUAAUGGCAUAGGGACCCAUUAUUUUUGUUUUUGCUACUGCCUCUGAAUCUGAUGAGGUAAAUUGGAAAUCAAGAGCCACCAAUCAAAAACUACGUGCCCUGCCAUGUCAUGCCACUCCAUAUAAACAUCAGCAUCAGAGAAGAUAAGCUCCACAUGGGAGGACGACAAACUACCGCCUGGGUUAC
rnacentral:lncRNA from 1 species